rnacentral:lncRNA from 10 species
GUCCCAUAGCCAUAAAAUUUAGUAUAAUACUCGGAUUCAUAUGCUUGCCUCUAAAAUUUCAGAGAUUUGGUAUUGCUGUUAGUUUAAUGAGUUUCUCUUAAAAUUGAGCAACUUGGCUAGAGAAAACUUAUUAAUUUAGAGUUUAUAAUAUAAGCGCAAUUGAAGAAACUCAUAGUAUGAAUCAUGUCAUCAAAAUUUGUAAAUCUCUUUUGAAGUUGUGACUUUAUUUCUACUACAGUCAUAUGAUACUUCAAAAUCUGUGAUUCCAUGAAGCCAAGAGUAGCUCUUCAACAGGAAAUGAAUGAGUGCUUCAGCUUCUGAUCCCAUUAGUAAGAAAAUACAGUCUUAUGAGCAAUGAUGGAGCUGCAUCUCUUAGGGGCAUUUGAUUCCCAAGAGACCAAAGAGCAAAGAGAAUGUCAAUUUAAAAAAAUCAAAUGUUUCCAUGACUUAGCUAUUUAACUGCUUUAAAAUGAAUGAAUGCUGCUUCAAGUUCUUUCAAAUACCCCACAUCUUGGCAACAACGAAAGGAAUUAACAUGAAGAAAAUUUACAAUCUUUCAUCACAUCGAACAAUGUCCCACAUUUGAAAAGUUCACAGCACAGAUUUCUGGUUACUGAAAGAAAGGAAAGACCUUCUUUGGAUUUGAAUAAACAGAUGGACUUUCUUCUCCUUUUUCUUAUAGUGCCCGAUUUGUGUAAAGGGAGGUGGGAAGAAAACAUCUUAGCUUAAAAGAGUGUCCUAUAAAAUAAAAGGUUUCAUACUUGCCUAUAGCUAAUCUCUGAAGGUGGUUACAAAAGAGGAUUUCUGAAACAUUUUAUAUGCAAUGGCCCAGACAUUUGCAUAAGUGGUCAAACUUUCAAGAUGACAACUUAAAAAUAUAAUACUCCUUUUGGACAAGCUUGUUUUUAAAAUAGCAGCAUCAUUAACUUUGGCAAAUCCAAUUCUUAAAUAUCCUUUAAAAUAGUUGAUAAAAGAAAGAAGGUAUCAGAACUAUAUAAUGGUUGCACUGCAUUUUUUAAAACCUCUUAUUUUGAAAUAAUUUUAGAAUCACAGAAAGUUGCAAAUAUAGUAUAAGGAGUCCCAUGUGCCCUACAUGAUGACAUCUUAUAAAGGGAUAGUAUAAUAUCAAAACCAAGAAAUUGACAUUGGCACA